UGGGGGAUAUUGCACAAUGGGCGAAAGCCUGAUGCAGCGACGCCGCGUGGGGGAUGAAGGCUUUCGGGUUGUAAACCUCUUUCGCUAUCGAACAAGGCCCGCUUAGGGUGGGUUGAGGGUAGGUGGAGAAGAAGCGCCGGCUCUACGUGCCAGCAGCCGCGGUAAUACGUAGGGCGCGAGCGUUGUCCGGAAUUAUUGGGCGUAAAGGGCUUGUAGGCGGCUUGUUGCGCCUGCUGUGAAAACGCGGGGCUUAACUUCGCGCGUGCAGUGGGUACGGGCAGGCUUGAGUGUGGUAGGGGUGACUGGAAUUCCAGGUGUAGCGGUGGAAUGCGCAGAUAUCUGGAGGAACACCGAUGGCGAAGGCAGGUCACUGGGCCAUUACUGACGCUGAGGAGCGAAAGCAUGGGUAGCGAACAGG
rnacentral:rRNA from 1 species